rnacentral:rRNA from 1 species
GCAAGUCGAGGGGUAACAUUGGAGCUUGCUUCAGAUGACGACCGGCGCACGGGUGCGUAACGCGUAUAGAACCUACCUUUUACAAAGGGAUAGCCUUUAGAAAUGAAGAUUAAUACCUUAUAGUAUUUUAGAUUAGCAUUAAUUUAAAAUUAAAGAUUUAUCGGUAAAAGAUGGCUAUGCGUUCUAUUAGCUAGAUGGAGUGGUAACGGCACCCCAUGGCUACGAUCAAUAGCCGACCUGAGAGGGUGAUC